rnacentral:rRNA from 1 species
UACGUAGGGUGCGAGCGUUAAUCGGAAUUACUGGGCGUAAAGCGUGCGCAGGCGGUUGUGCAAGACAGGUGUGAAAUCCCCGGGCUUAACCUGGGAACUGCAUUUGUGACUGCACGGCUAGAGUUUGUCAGAGGGGGGUGGAAUUCCACGUGUAGCAGUGAAAUGCGUAGAUAUGUGGAAGAACACCGAUGGCGAAGGCAGCCCCCUGGGAUGAGACUGACGCUCAUGCACGAAAGCGUGGGGAGCAAACAGG